rnacentral:lncRNA from 1 species
UGGGGGGGUUGGGGGGUGGGGGGGGAGGUAUACUUAGCCUUAGGUGAGGCACCAAUACAGAGGAAUGGAGGGAGGUUCAGACCACACAGCCAGAUAUCCAGCACUGCAAGAGGCAGCACUGGACAGGAGGGGACAAAUAAGAGGGGACAGAGGUGGAAAGGCUAAAUGUCCUUGAAAAGACCUUGAAAACACCUGGUGUACCGCCCACUGGGAGACAUACACGUGGCCCCUCCACUUCUUUCUCCUGACUGGCUAAAGACAGCUGCGAAGUGCCAUGCUAAUUCACCCAGGUCUUCGCUGAGUAGCUGGACAGUGUGUCAUCAGUCUAAUUCCAUCUUCUGCUCUAAUUGGCUGUGAUCAAUUCCACCCCCAUUUCUAAUUGGUUGGGUUAUGCAGCAAUCCAGCACUGUCCAUCCCACCUUUUCUCCCGCUCUGCGUGGCACUAGGCGGCAAAACCCGCCAUCUUUAACAAUGCGGCAAGCCCGCCAUGAUGUCCACGUGACAAAAGCCAUGAUAUACAUAUGACAACGCCUGCCAUAUUGUCCCUGCGGCAAAACCCAACACGAAAAGCACACAGCAAAGACAAAGAGGCCCGCCAUGUUUUACACUGCGGCAAGACCUUCAGCCGCCAUCUUUUCCUGUGUGACCGCACAUGUCCACCACCAUGCUAACCACUUAACAAAGCCUCGCCCAUCAUGAUGUGGCCUUCCCGCCACUUGAACACUGCGACAGAACUGGAUCCGCCAUUUUGGACAACCUAACAAAGCACAGCCCGCCAUGCUGAGCAAUGCCGCAAUGUCAAAAUCGCCAUUUUAAGCCCUGCACCUUAGUCUUUCCUAACCUUCCAUUUUUAACUAGUCCCUUGUACUGAUAAAAGAUGAUUCUUACUGCCUCCCGAUACAACAAUCACGCAAAGCUCCUAACAAGCCCCAAAUCAAUUCAUUCAGAUAGGUUUAGCUCAUGCAAUGCACAUGACUUCCUCUGCCUGACCUGCUAUCAUCCAUCUUGCCUCCCUAGUUUAACUUAGCACAAACGACUAGCCCUAAGCCGAGUUAUGCGGCAAGUCUAAAAUGGCGGCCACUUUUCCUCCACAAUCUGAACACGCCCUUAGCUUAACUGCAGAGUCAUUCUCUGCCAAAGCGGUAGGUACACUCACACACCACCAAAUGAUCAGCAGCAAAAAAAAGUGUAGAUAUUCCAGAGAGUGCAACAACCCACAAAACCAACAUUUUUUCAUCCAUAAAAAGCACCGAUGGGCGAUGAAAAAAAAAAAUCAAAGCAGAUAUCCGUCACCCCGAUGGGCCAGAGUGUUGGGGGUUCAGAGGGGAAGGGAAUCAGCAGGUAUCCGAUACCCCGAUGGGCUAAGGAAAAAAAAAUAAAAAGCAGGUAUCCGCGGCCCCGAUGGGCGAAUAAAAAAGAAUUAAAAGGCAGGUAUCCACGGCCCCGUUGGGCAAAGAAAAAAUAAUAAAACCAGGUAUCCGCAGCCCCGAUGGGCAAAAUAUAGAAAAGAGAGUGGAAGAGUAAAAAACUGAUCCACAAAAAACAGAGAUGUCAACCAAAAAUGAUUCCAAAGAAAAAUUCCUUAAAUAUUAAAAAUUGCCUCAAAAUAUUCCAAAUACUUUCUUUAAAAAAAUAUGGAGGACGUGUCAAGAAGACACUAGGAGAAAGUAUAGAAUUUAAAAAAAUAUUUUAUGGAAUUUAGGUGAUUUUUUUAAAGAAAUACGCCAUAAAGGGUGUUGGGGGACUAGAAAAUGUUCUAGAAAGAACCCCAAGUGCAGAGAGAUCUUCAGUCAGGAAGCUUCCAGCCCCGAG